AUACAGACAAGGCAUUACACAGUUGUCCUGUUGUUAGGUUGUAAGCCUGGUGCAUUGACCUGGUUGUGCCAGCUUUGCGUUUACAAACCUUGAUGGGUUACACAUAUGAUUCUUGGCAAGGAUAAGUGGGAAUACAAACAAAAACAGUGGGAUUGAGAUAGACAACAGAUAAAUGUGUAAGGACGGGGAGAAAGUACAUUCUCUUUCCCUCCCUGAUUCUCUUGACCUCAGCAGUCUCCUGGGGGAGAGGGCCACUGGAACCACCUGAGGAAUUCCCCACUGAAAGGGUCCCAGGGGACUGGUUCCAGAUUGAGAACAGCUGUGGUGGACACGGUGCCACCCUGCAUCUCUCGUGGCUGGGACUGUGCGGAGAUUUAGCAUUCCUCCCUGAGAUGCUUGGAGAGGCCAAGGGGUUGGCUGGCACUCCUGGCAACCAGUAGGUUGCAUCGGUGCCUUAGUUACUUCCUUGUUGCUGGGACUCAAUACCUGGCACCUGCAAGUUAGAGAAAGGAAAGGUUUAUUUUAACUCACAGUUUGGGGAAGUUUCAGUCCCUAGUGUGCUGGCUCUAGGGGAGGACAGCAUGGCAGAGGGGCGUGGCAGAGGAGAGACCCGCUCAGGGUAUGGGAAGCAGAGAGAGAUCAAAGAGAAUGGGGGGAGAUAAACCCUUCCAGGCCACACACCCAGUGUCACACCUCCUCCAGCCACGCUCCACCUCCCAACAGCACAUGGAGCUAUAAACUCAUCAGUGGACUCAUCCACUGCGGAGUCUCACACCCAUCAUCCAGUCACCUCCCCAAGGCCGCACUUACAAGCACAUGAGGUUUUGGGAGGACGUUCAGCCAUAAACCGUAAUAGGCUGUUCCUGUGCUGCAGGAUACCCUUGGAGAGUGCCUGGCAAAUUCUGGUGGAUUAAACUUAUAUGAGUUCAAAUGGACAUUCAAGUUUCAGAUGCUUCUCUCGAUUAGUAAAACAUUCCCCUUUCUUUCUUAGAGAUGAUUUUUGUUUUACAAUCUACUUAUAUUAGUUUCCGUAACAAUAAACUUGGUGGCUUCAACAAUGGAAAUGCAUUCUCAUCUGGAGGUCAGAAGGCUAAAGAAAGUCUUAUGAGGACAAAGCCAAAGUGUUCAAAGGUCUGGUUCCUUCUGGAGCCUCUAAGGGAGUCAGUUUCUCUAACUUCCAUCCAACAUGAUCUUCAAAGGAAGCUACAAACCAGAGGUUACUCUCGCUCUCCUGGUUUUAUAACAGGGAAACUGGGACUGAAACUAACACUCACUGAGUUAAAGUAUUCACAUGUUAAUCAAGCACUACUAUACACAAGCUCUUUUACUUCCAUUGCUUUAUCCAACCCUCUUACAGGCUGGCAAAUAGCUGUUAUUACUCUCAUUUUGCAGGCAGAGAACCUGAAAUUAGGAAGCAAAGUAAUUGUCUAAGACCAGAGCCAGAACCUUGAAUGUGAGCACAGAUCUCCUCCACCUUGUUGUGCCCUGCCCAGCUCUCUGUGCACAGUCCUGAAAUGGCCUGGGGAUGUGACUCUCUGGUGUAUAGGGACCCUCUGUGCCUUCAUUGUGAUGUGCACCAGCUGUCUUCUCUGGAUGCCCCCAGAACCACAGAACAUCACAGCAGAAAGGGGCUUUGGAGAAAAUCUACACUUCAGUUUCAGAAGAUUGCUUUCCAUUAGGCCCUCGCUCUGUGGCUUUAUGGCAACACAAGGACGCAGCACUGGACAAGUCUCCGGGUCCAUCAGCACUGACGCCACAUGGAUGAUGAAUCCAUCGGGUGAUUUGUUAUUGUUCAUUUGUUUCCUGUAAUGAGCACAAACUCCCUGCUACAUUUAAAUAAAAGCCCAAUUACAUCUCCGUAGCCACAAAUGCUAUUACCUUUUUGCCUGGUUGUAAAAGUUAAUGAGUUUCCUAUUUCUUUGUAAAGUUUAGAAAUAAAAUGCUUCAGAUAGAUGCUACAUAAUGUGAGGUCCACUCUGCUUUGUUAGUUAUUUGAGGACCCAGAAUCUCAAUUAUUUUACCCUUUACUGCCUUUCAUUUUAGAAUGGUUUGCUCUGCAUUAUUUUCCUCACUUUUUGGACAUAGUAUAACAAGGACAUUAAAUAUAACUGAGCAGCUUUGGAGAAAAUUGCAUCAAAUCAGCUGAAGAGAACUGAAGAAUGUGCUUAUGGGCUAGACGUUUUGGAGGAGAUACACAAGGCUGACAGCCUAAUAAAAAUUUAAUAG
ensembl:lncRNA